rnacentral:rRNA from 1 species
AGAAGCUGCCUGGGGAAUGGCUCGGCUCGGGCGCCGAAGACGGUCGUGCCAAGCUGCGAAAUGCCGCGGGUAGGCGCAUGGAACCUGUGAUCCGCGGAUCGCCGAAUGGGACCUCCUGCUCCUUCGGGAGCGUUCCGUAAGGAACGGGAACCCCCGGAAUUGAAGCAUCCUAGUACGGGGAGGAAGAGAAAUCAACCGAGAUACCCUCAGUAAAGGCGAUCGAAGAGGGCUCAGGGCAAACCGAAUCCGCCCCGGUAACGGGGUAGAGAUGUGGCGUUCGGACUCCGGCACGUCCUACCUCGCCAACCCGAAGUCCCCUGGAAUGGGGCCACAGAGAGGGUGACAGGCCCGUAGGGGUACGCGAGGAGGACGAUUCGGAGGAUCCAGAGUAGCGUGCGUUGGAAAUCGCGCGCGAAGGCGGGGGGCAUCCCCCUCCAACCCUAAAUACGACCCGAGACCGAUAGCGCAGUAGUAGCGUGAGUGAAAGCUGAAAAGUACCCUUGACGGGAGGUGCAAAGAGCCUGAAACCAGGUAGCCACAGGCCGAUAGGGCGCGCAAGCGACGAAACCCGAAAGGGUGGAGCGGCGUCCUAUCAUCCGUUUUGAAAAACGGGCCAGGGAGUCCGGAUGGACGGCGAGGUUAACCGCCUUACGCGGGAAGCCGUAGCGAAAGCGACAGGUCCGCAGCGCGCAAGCGCGAGGGACGUCGUGGGCUCGCGAGGAGUCGUCUGUGAGGUACCCGAAGCCGGUCGAUCUAUGCCUGGGCAGGUUGAAGCCUUCCGAAAGGGAGGUGGAGGACCGACCCGAUGUUGAUGUGCAAAUCACUCGAUUGACCUGGGCAUAGGGGUGAAAGGCCAAUCUAGGCCGGGAAUAGCUGGUUCCCCUCGAAAUGAGUCGCAGCUCAGUCUCGGUGGAGGACGGACCGUGGGGUAGAGCGACGGUUUGGGCGCUUAGGCGGAGAAAUCCGUCGGUGCCCUGACAAACUCCAAACUUGCGGUCACCUGAGAAGCCGGGAGGCGGGCAUCGUGGGUAAGCUUGGUGUCCGAAAGGGUAAGAACCCAGCCUGCGGUUAAGGUCCCAAAGUGCCGACCAAGUGCAAACGAAGGGCGUUCGCGGUCUCAGACAACUGGGAGGUGGGCUUAGAAGCAGCCAUCCUUCAAAGAUAGCGUAACAGCUCACCAGCCGAGAUCGCGGGCCCCGAAAAGGGACGGGGCUAAGUCGGUCACCGAUACCGCAGAACACGGAAACGUGAUUUCGUAGAGGGGCGCCGUGCGCGGGGAGAAGUCGGGCCGUGAGGUCCGAUGGACCGCGUUCGGACGCGAAUCCUGGGAAGAGUAGCAGCAAAGUGGGGUGAGAAUCCCCACCGCCGAAGGGGCCAGGGUUCCUCGGCAAUGUUCGUCAGCCGAGGGUUAGUCGGUCCUAACAUGUCCCUUAACCGAGGACGUGGAAAGGGAAGCGGGUUAAUAUUCCCGCACCGUGCAAGUCCCUGCCCAUCGCAUGACGCAUCGAGGCAGUCCGAGCGUGCUUGCCUGUACGCCCAAGCGUGGAACUCCGGGGAGAGCCGUCAUGGCGAGAACCGGACGAAAGCGCGAGUGGGAGAGGUGAAGGCCUCUCUUCGGCCGAUCCUCGGUGCCCGUGAAAAGUGUGAUGGGGUCAACUUGUGCGUCCGUACCGAGAACUGACACAGGUGCCCCUGGGUGAGAAGCCCAAGGCGUGUCGGCGAUAAUCCAGGCGAGGGAACUCGGCAAAUCAGCCCUGUACCUUCGGAAGAAGGGGUGCCAGCCUCGAGAGAGGCUGGUCGCAGUGACUAGGGCGCUCCGACUGUUUACUAAAAACGUAGGUGGCCGCCAAAUCGAAAGGUCUUGUACGGCCGCUGAAGCCUGCCCAGUACUGGUAUCUGAAAACCCGUUUCAACGGGGCGAAGGACCAGUAAACGGCGGGGGUAACUAUGACCCUCAACAAACAGGGGGUGUCGAAGUCGGCUAUAUGCGGGGAACUCCGAGCAUCCUCGGGUACCGCCGAAGUUUGGCGGUAACAAUCUCGAGGUGCGGACAAUCCGCAGGGAAGACCGAUCGCGAGGUCGGAACCCUCAGAGACUGUACGCCGAUCGCCGCCAGAAUGGCGGUGAUGAUACAGUCCGACCCUCACGGCGACGUGAGGAGGUCGCGAGAAAUCGCGGCCCGCCGCUCCCUCGAUCAGGGAGCGGUCUCGAAAGUAACAGCGUGCUUAAGGUAGCGUAAUACCUUGUCGCUUAAUUGGCGACUUGCAUGAAGGCCCAACGAGAGCGCUACUGUCCCCGCCUGGAAGCCGGUGAAACUGACUUACUGGCGCACAGUCCAGUACCUUCCAGCUGAAAGCGAAGACCCCGUGGAGCUUUACUGCAGCCUGUCGCUGCCGUAUGAGUUUGGAUGUGUAGCGUAGGCGGGACUCGUUACCAGGGCCGACCGCUAGGCCGGCUCCGAGAGACCGAUGAAACACCGCCCUUCUGGGUUCGUACGGCUAACACGUUCGCGUGAACAACGGUAGGUGGGCAGUUUGGGUGGGGCGCCACGCCCUCAAAACGGUAACAAGGGCGCCCAAAGGUUGACUUAGGUGGGUCAGAAAUCCACCGGUAACUGUAAGGGGACAAGUCAGCCUGACAUGGACUUGCCCAACGAGAGUCCAUGACACGAAAGUGAGGCCUAGCGAACCAAUGAGCCUCAGAGAUGGGGGCCAUUGAUGUCAGAAAAGUUACCCCGGGGAUAACUGAGUUGUCUCCAGCUAGAGUUCCUAUCGACCUGGAGGCUUGCUACUUCGACGUCGGCUCUUCCUAUCCUGGCGGUGCAUGAGCUGCCAAGGGUGGGGUUGUUCGCCCAUUAAAAGGGAUCGUGAGCUGGGUUUAGACCGUCGUGAGACAGGUUUGUUGCUUUUUGCUGGAAGCGCUUUGGUGCCUGAGGGGUAGGUCCCUUUAGUACGAGAGGAACGGGGGAUCGGCGCCUCUAGUCUAUCGGUUGUCUGGCAAGGCAUUGCCGAGCAGCCACGCGCCAUCGGAUAAGGGCUGAACGCAUCUAAGCCCGAAGCCGCCCCCAAGACGAGGCACCUCACGGCCGUUGUAAUCGACAACGUUGAUAGAGCUCGGGUGUGC